rnacentral:rRNA from 1 species
UGGGCGUAAAGCGAGCGCAGGCGGUUUGAUAAGUNUGAAGUUAAAGGCUGUGGCUCAACCAUAGUUCGCUUUGGAAACUGUCAAACUUGAGUGCAGAAGGGGAGAGUGGAAUNCCAUGUGUAGCGGUGAAAUGCGUAGAUAUAUGGAGGAACACCGGUGGCGAAAGCGGCUCUCUGGUCUGUAACUGACGCUGAGGCUCGAAAGCGUGGGGAGCGAACAGGAUUAGAUACCCUGGUAGUNCACGCCGUAAACGAUGAGUGCUAGGUGUUGGGUCCUUUCCGGGAUUCAGUGCCGCAGCUAACGCAUUAAGCACUCCGCCUGGGGAGUACGACCGCAAGGUUGAAACUCAAAGGAAUUGACGGGGGCCCGCACAAGUGGUGGAGCAUGUGGUUUAAUUCGAAGCAACGCGAAGAACCUUACCAGGUCUUGACAUCCCGAUGCUAUUUCUAGAGAUAGGAAGUUACUUCGGUACAUCGGUGACAGGUGGUGCAUGGUUGUCGUCAGCUCGUGUCGUGAGAUGUUGGNNNNNNNNNCGCAACGAGCGCAACCCCUAUUGUUAGUUGCCAUCAUUCAGUUGGGCACUCUAGCGAGACUGCCGGUAAUAAACCGGAGGAAGGUGGGGAUGACGUCAAAUCAUCAUGCCCCUUAUGACCUGGGCUACACACGUGCUACAAUGGUUGGUACAACGAGUUGCGAGUCGGUGACGGCGAGCUAAUCUCUUAAGGCCAAUCUCAGUUCGGAUUGUAGGCUGCAACUCGCCUACAUGAAGUCGGAAUCGCUAGUAAUCGCGGAUCAGCACGCCGCGGUGAAUACGUUCCCGGGCCU